GAGAGCCGGAUGAUCGGGAAACCAUCACGUCCGGUUCGGCGGGAGGCCGCCCGGAAAAAGGACCCGCACACCGCGGGCACCUCGCCGGACGGCCUACCCAAC
rnacentral:ncRNA from 1 species